rnacentral:tRNA from 1 species
GUGUGGGUGGUGUAGUUGGUUAUCACGUUAGUCUCACACACUAAAGGUCCCAGUUUUUUGGGCUCAGACA